AUGGCGCCUGUUUAUCAAAAACAUGGUUUUUUGUAGUUGUAGAAAAUCUGGUCUGCUCACUGCUUUAAGUAAAUAGCCGCAGUAUUUUGACUGUGCUAAGGUAGCAUAAUCAUUUGCCUUUUAAUUGAAGGCUGGUAUGAAUGAUUUGACGUGAUAGGUUCUGUCUCCAGAGAAGAGAUUGAAAUUAAUUAAUAGGUAAAAAGGCCUAUAUGGAUCUGAGGGACGAUAAGACCCUAUUAAGCUUGAUUUUAGAAAUUUGCUGGGGUGGCAAUUUAAGAUUAGUAUCUUAAUAAAAAUGAAUAUAGUAUAAAGACCCAAUAUUAUUGAGUGUUAGAUGAAGUUACUAUAGGGAUAACAGCUUAAUUUUUUUAAUGAGUUCUUAUUUUAAGAAAAGUUUGUGACCUCGAUGUUGAAUUAAGGGCUCUAUUUGGCGUAGCCGUUAAAUGAGAAAGUCUGUUCGACUUAUAAAACCUUACGUGAUCUGAGUUCAGACCGGCCAUGGGAAGCCUCU
rnacentral:rRNA from 1 species